CCCAGAUGGGCAACCUGGGGACUCGUCCUUGACCUCCCUACUCCACUUCCCUCACAUAUCUGGUCAUGACCAGGUUCUGGGGAUCCCCUGCUGGUGCGCCUCUGUCCCGUCUGACCCUCCCUGUUCUGCCCCAGGCCCUGCCCAUCCAUGGCCCUGUCUUCCUCCUGACCGUGUCCCUCUUUCUUCUCCCUUUCUGACCCGUCCUCCCCUUCAUUUCCCCAGCAGCCUCUUCACUAACACUCUUGAACAUGUCACUCCCCUGCUCAGAGUUCCUCAGCAUCUUCCAUCUGUCUCAGGGGUGCUGCCCAAACCCCUCCACCCUCUUCUGGCCUGGCCACCCAUCUCCCUUCCCUGCCCUACACCCCGGUGGCCACUUGGUGACUUACCAGGUUAUUUUAAGCUCCUGUUUUUACCCCGAGUUCUCGCCUGGUCCCUUGCCUACCUCUUUCUGGCCUGCUGGCGAGUCCUCGACACCCCCAGGCCUGGAUGAGGCACCCCUUUCGUUAUGAAGCCUUCCGACCCCCCAUGAGUUUCCCAGCUCAGAUCGGUGUGUCUUCUCCUCCAUGACGCCUUUGAUGGUGGGACCCAGAACUUGUUGAGUUAGUAACGGCCACAAUGACACACAGGAGUGAGAAGACCAUCUGCUGCAGAGACGCAAGAUCAAGUGCUACUUCCUGUCGGCAGGAGUCACCGUCCUGCUGGUCAUCAUUCUCGUCAUCGCCACCUCUAUCCGAAAGUGAGGCCACCUGCGGCACAGGCCAGGCCCUGGUGACCCAGCCAUGAACAUGGCUGAUGGAGACCCUCUUUUCCUGGAACUCCCAGCUGUAGAGGCAGGUGAACCUGAAGCUCCCUUUGUGUCGUGCUGUCACGUGGCCUGCGUGGACCCUGGGGAGCUUCGCACCUGCCUGCCUCCCAGCUGUGUGCUGACCCCGCCGCCUCUGCACAGCCCCUGGCUGAGCCUGCGCCAAUAAACCGCCACUGCUUGGCCAGCCCCGUGCCUGUCUGUUUGCAUCUGUGGGCGGGGUGGGG
rnacentral:lncRNA from 1 species